AUUGAACGCUGGCGGCAUGCUUUACACAUGCAAGUCGAACGGCAGCACGGGUGCUUGCACCUGGUGGCGAGUGGCGAACGGGUGAGUAAUGCAUCGGAACGUACCGUGUAAUGGGGGAUAACGCUUCGAAAGAGGUGCUAAUACCGCAUACGCCCUGAGGGGGAAAGCGGGGGAUCGUAAGACCUCGCGUUAUACGAGCGGCCGAUGCCGGAUUAGCUAGUUGGUGGGGUAAAGGCCCACCAAGGCGACGAUCCGUAGCUGGUCUGAGAGGACGACCAGCCACACUGGGACUGAGACACGGCCCAGACUCCUACGGGAGGCAG
rnacentral:rRNA from 1 species